AUGGGGGCGAGAGGGGAGAAAAGCGGACGGAGCAACCGCGCCCUCUCUCAUCUGCGCCCACUCAGGGCACGCAGGACAGACGGGCCCGCGUGGCUGGCUCCACACACCAGCCCGGGUCUGGUCUGGGCCACGAGCGCACGACUGGGAACUGGCCCAUCCAGGACACUGGGUCAGAUUCUCCUGGUGGCCCGCCGCACUACAAGGCAGACAACUCCCCAGCUGCCUGGGGGCACGGCACGGGUCCAGAACACGCUCGUGCCAGCGUCAGAGGGCACAUCGAGGACUGGUCCUCAGGCAGCGGCCACGCCUCCUGGACGCUGUCCCGGGAGCUCGGAGACCAGCCAACGCCAAGAGGAAGGCAAGGACGUCUCAGGAGAGGCAGAGGCACAGAGCACCACCCUCGCGGAGCCCAGCGUGCCCGCGCCUAAGUCCGCUGCGCACACUGGGCCACCAGGGGCAGUGGGGCACUCCACGCCGGGUCCCAUGAGGCUUCUGCACUCGCAGCCUCCGUGGCAACGCCAGGCAUGCGGGCUGGGAGUGCUGCACCAGACCCCCGGGGUGGGUCAUGGCGGGAGCAGACAUGGGGGGCGGGGAAGCCUACGCCCCUCCCGCACGGGUCAGCAGACCACCACGCAGAGAAACGGACAACCUGCGGACAGGCCCAGGCAGCGUGCAGCCAACCAGAGAACCCGGGAGGACACACGGCCCCGUCUCGGAGCGUCUGACUCGCACCGCGGCCCCUCUCUCCCCAGGGAGCACAUCCUCCCCGGGCAGAGCCCCGAGGACGUCCCCGCAGCUCCAGAGCACAGGCCAGCGUUUCGGGACAAGGAAUCGCAUGGCGACACCUUCCCGGUCCCGGAGGCAAUAGGAAAGCCCGUUCUCGCUCAAGGAGCCCCGGCAACCCAGCGGGCUCCCAGGGGCAGAGGACACAAGGCACACGGGCCCCUACUGUGGUCGUGGUCAGCUUCGGUGCUGGGAGUCAUGGUUGGGAGCGGCACGUCCGGAACAGGUUCCCGGGUGCUGGGCUCAGCGUCUGCGGAAGAAGAAGAGACAUCACACACUUGGCCUGAGUGA
rnacentral:lncRNA from 1 species